GUGGGGAAUUUUGGACAAUGGGCGCAAGCCUGAUCCAGCAAUGCCGCGUGCAGGAAGAAGGCCUUCGGGUUGUAAACUGCUUUUGUACGGAACGAAACGGUCCUGGUUAAUACCUGGGGCUAAUGACGGUACCGUAAGAAUAAGCACCGGCUAACUACGUGCCAGCAGCCGCGGUAAUACGUAGGGUGCAAGCGUUAAUCGGAAUUACUGGGCGUAAAGCGUGCGCAGGCGGUUUUGUAAGACAGGCGUGAAAUCCCCGGGCUCAACCUGGGAAUUGCGCUUGUGACUGCAAAGCUGGAGUGCGGCAGAGGGGGAUGGAAUUCCGCGUGUAGCAGUGAAAUGCGUAGAUAUGCGGAGGAACACCGAUGGCGAAGGCAAUCCCCUGGGCCUGCACUGACGCUCAUGCACGAAAGCGUGGGGAGCAAACAGGAUUAGAUACCCUAGUAGUCC
rnacentral:rRNA from 1 species